GAUAUAUAAAUCAGCUGAUUUCGCGCGAAUUUUCACAUUUUUGUCUGACACGAUUGAUUUGACAGUAGAAAUUUUGCUUGGUGGUUUUUAACUGUAAUCAUCCGGCAUUUAUAUUGUGAUCUCAAAUCACUGGAGCAUGAUAUAUGUGAUGUGUAAUAAUAUAAGUUACUCCCCUUGGUUAUUUUCACACCAUUUGCACGUUGGUUUUCACUACGAAACCAGGGAUCAUGAGUUCGAGCCCGCGCUUCUUCAAAUAAAAUUACUAAUGAACAUUGGGAUAAGAAUCCCGCACAUGGGUCCUUUACUCCUGGCACGUUAUAUAACCAGGAAAACUCUGGAAUUGGAGUAUCCUCCUACUUAAUCUUUUGGACAUAGAGAAGAAGAAAAAUAUUUUAUAAGACUCUAAACUUUACAGUUUCUGGUCUACUCAAUAUACAGUUGAAAGGCGAAGUACUUGAAAAAGAUAAGGUUACAAUUGUACAAUAACGCUGGUGUCUUUCAAUCCUAUUUUGUCCAUAACGACCAGUUUCAAUUCUUAGAUUGUGGGAUGCAAGUCUCAACCUGGACAGAGGAAUGCGGAAUUUACAAGCAAGUCAAGGUUACUUUGAAGGUCUUGUGGAGUGUUACCAAAUACUACUAUGUCAUCAGCAAAUGGCAUUAGGAUAAAGAAAUGAAACGGUCAAUGAAUCCUAUCAAAUUAUCUGGGCUAUGCAGUUUUUAUAGUGGUUUCCUCACAGAAUGAUCCAGCGCUGAUGCAAGAUGGGUAAAUAAAAUGGCACUCAAGAAAUAUUUGAGUUUAUUCCGAGAGAGGCUAGAGGCUAUCAACAUCAAGAAGUUAGAGGGUCGUAAGGUACCCAUCUCAACUGGUUGAAGCUGCAACUGAUCUCUUGUCCUACACAGAUGAUAAUGAGUUGUCUGCAGUGGCAGAAAAGAUAGAAUUUGAUCUCAAGGAAUACACGUAUUAACAUUUUUCCAGUUUUCCAACCAACUGCGACUACUCCGGCACCUGCACCAAAAGAAAAGACUCUGCCAGAAAAGACUCCGCAACAGGCAG